AUUGCAGACUGUUAUCAAUAUCGAGUGAUAGAGCACACAAAACAGCAGCUGGGGCGUGUUGUACAGCUGGUCUCUCCGACAACAUCUGAUAUGUAUGGCUGGUUUGUGGGAAAACAAGCAGGGAAUCUUCAAGAGAAUAUUUCCUGCUGCAGUGUUGCAGACAGCGUUAGAAUAGAGGACCAAAACUUCAUUUGGGGUUUAGGUUUUCGUCGCCCAGAUCCUUGAUCCUUUUGCUUUUGCUCACAUGGGACAGACAAAUACUUUUAAAGAUUUGUAUCUCCUAUUGAUUUUCUUUUUAAAAUUCGAAGUACAUAUUUGUAAGCAAGAAAUCAAAAUAAAUGAAAUGAAAACUAAGCAAAAUACAGAACUUUGGAAAAAUUAUUAAUUUAUCAUCUGAACAAGAAAAUUAUCUAAGUUCUUCAGUGUGGGGUAGCCUAAAAAAGCAUUCACAAAAAACCAGAAGUUUCAAUAACUAUUUUGAUUCUAAACCUGCUGAAGUGUAGAGAUAAUCUGGGGAGGGGGGGGGGGAAUUUUAGAUAUGCUUUCUAAGGGUGGAAGUGGGCCCUGCUGGCAAAGACCUACUGGCAACAAAACAUUGGGGAACCUAAUCCCUUAUAAUUUACCUUUCCGUCCCCAAGAUAAAUGUACAGCUUAAAAGUUGACCGAGAUAAAGAAUUUUUCUUUUCUUGCAGAGAGCCCGCUAUGGACUCUUUUUCGCUAACAAGAUGUCUUAUUGGAUUAUCAAUUCAUUCUUAUUAGAUUAUUUCAUUCCAAAUGUAAUUAGCCAGCUUACUUAAGUAGAUUAUUUAGAUUUUUUCAAACCUGGACAAAAUUUCUGUCUUUUCCAACGAAAAAAUAAACGCUUCAGUUAAUCGCCUAAAACAAAAGUAAAAAAAACUAAAUAACCCAGUAAGGACAAAGCGCAGAAAUUGGUGCCUGCUCUGCUACCCUGUAAAUAAAGGCUAUCCGUACAUAUACAAGUAGAAACCUGCAAUCUUUCGCAAUCUCAUGUUGUUAUUUCUAUCCAUUUGAAGAUGUUGUUCAGCAUAUCCUCUAAGCAUUAACUUUUCAAGAAUAGCGAAAAAGCCUUAAAAUUGUCUGGAUUUUUAAGUCCUAUGAAUAUAAACAACAACUGCAUCAUAACAUAAUACUGUUUAGAGAUACACCGGUAAAGGUCAAAGUACAUAUUGCGCAUCUCAACGAAAAAAUAAGCUACAACACGGUCAUGACAUAGAAAAUGCUCUUUUGGAACAAAUGGGGUUUGCCAAGACCUGAAAUAUCCUCUAGGGGGUGAAAUUUCACACCGUAGUUCAAGAACGGUUUAAACAAUCGACCAAUUUAGCUAGCUUCAAGUUUAUAUCGACAAGUAAAGGUGCAGCGAGGUUAAGUUGUUUCUUUAUUUAGAGCUAAGCAGGUUUCAGUUUCAUUGCACAUGUGUGUCCUUUUCCAACAGGAUUCACAGUCUGCCAGUUUUGCCAUAUUUAUCAUGCAGUCUCUUUCCUUGUUGGAUGUUUGCCUGAAUUGUCUUAAACAUGUAUGCAAAAAGCGAAAGGGCAACUGUCAAUCUUAUUUGGAAAUAAACUGGUUAUGAAACAUUAUUCGAAGAUGUAAAAGAAAUAGGGACUCUAACGAGCGAUCAAAUACACGAUAAAGUUCCUCAGGGUUUAGGUUGACGACAUCAUUGUCUCUCGGAGGGGCGGAUUCUCACCGUUCUCCGGAUGUUCUCACCGUUCUCACGUGAAAACGUCAUUUUUUUCGAAAAACGAAAUUGCGAAAAUGAAGGUUAAAAUAUUCAAUUUUACUCCAAAGACAACCUCCAAUACACGCAGACAGUGUCAUCGUAAGGUUGCAUGGCCUGAUGAUGCGUAGGAGCCAGUUUGAAGACAAUCUGAUUGAGAUUCAAAUUCCUCUCAAUCUGAACCAUUGUUUCAUCUUUGAAAUAAAUUGAGCAGUUGUUUUGCUAGCCAAUGAAAGUGCAGAAUUUUCGUUUUAAACCAAUGAAUUGGUGAGAACUCAAAAUAAAUUAAUUUCGUGCGCGAAUCGAAAAAAACAAUCAAAGUUUGUCUUCUAUCGUUUCUGGUGAGAAACUCUGACGUAGCUCACAGGCUGGACGAUUCAAUUCAAUCGAGUAAAAUACAAUAAACAAAGCCCGCGAAAAUCGCUGUAAAUCAAAGGUAGAAUGUCUCAAAGAUGUGGAAACUUCUCUAGGUUCCUGCUAUCAAUCAUAUAUUUUCUUCUUGAACUAAGAAUUAUUUGGGUGGCAAUUGUUCAAGCUUGUAAUAGUCGUGAAGUUAUACCAGAAUGUUUGUUUUCCUUUGCUGUGCAAGGUUUCAGGAACACAAAUUUAUUCUCCAAUCAGAAGCGUACAUGUUUAAUUGUAAGUUGGAGAACAUACAUGUUGCUGUAAGAAUUGAAAAAAAUUAACAGCUUUUCGAAAAUUGACAAUAGCCUGUUUUAAUCACUAAGAGAUGAAAUUAUGAAUGUAUGAAUUGCUAACGUAUGACAAUUGGUUCUGGAGCUUUAAUUAACUAAUAUAUACCUUCGCGAUAAAGUUUUAGUCUUAAAACUACAUGUGUAAAAAUGCGAAGUUCUAAACUUUCUAGAGCUUUCUCUAAAUUUAUAUCUUUAAAACGUUUGAAGAGCUCACUACGAUGCUAGUUAAGCUGUUGAUCUAUGUUAUUGCGAAUCUUUAAUUUGACACAGAGGUGGUUGUAACCAUCUGCCAAUCACAACUAACCAUUAGGCGUGAUGUAGCUGAUUGGCCAAUUGUUGAAUUACAGAUGGCCUAACCCACUUCAGUUUCUGCCAAUUGUCCCCAAUCAAAGGAACCUUAGUCAUGGAGCAUGGAAUUAUCAGAAAUAUUAUUUUUUUAUUGUCAGAUGCGACAUUCGUCUUUAUAAGAAAACAACCUCGGUAUUAACAGCUUCUUAGUUCUUUGUUGAAUUCAAUGCUUAAAGUUUCUCACAAAGGUUUCUAAAUUACCAAAUGCCAAAAAGUUUCCUUUUAGAAACACUAAAACGAAACAAAUGGAACACCUUAUAAGUCCUAAGGAGCUGCUUUUUUAAUUUCUCUGUCAAUGAAACAGGGUGUGUGUCUAAUCGUCGAAAAGAAUCAUUUCCAAUACCUCUCUUAAAUGAAGAUUUUCGAGCAGUUUCUUAGAAUUGAGCGUGAUCCGUACAAUGGUUUCUUAAUAUUUUAGUUAUCUUGUGGCUUGGUUGCUUAAAGACUGAAUUACAUAAAAAUGAGUGUACUGUUUGCAAGCAAUAUAGGUACAUUGUAAUAGAUUUCAAGUAGAAAAAAACGUGAAUUUGACAAAAAACAAAAUAUAUUCAGCAGCAGUGUCAAAAUUCUAUGCAACUAUAGUCAUUUCCCUCCCCUUCUUCAAAUCGAAGCAAAGAAAGCCUUGUUCAACGAUAGCUUCUUCAAUGGCCUAAAACUAGGCACAUUCUUGUUGCUGUUUCUGUUUUCGUUGAUAUUUUUGUUGCUGUUGUUGUUAUUCUAAUUGUUCAUUUGAUUUUUGAUCACAUACAAAAUUGUCUAUUAACAGUUAAGCCGGGUUCUGCCGGACUCUAUCAACAGAUAAUCGAACGAUUCAUAAUCUUUUUGAAGAGUUGUUAGGCUAGAUUAAGUCUGAUGGAUCUUGUUUGAUUGCUGCCAUGUUCGGUCCGAACAUGGCAGUUCCACGAUUGCUGCAAUUCCACGUUCUUCAAUAUCACCUAUUUUUUUCGAUUUUCAACUUUUUUCUUCCUGUUGUCCAGUUUUCAUUAUAAUAAAGAUUGCAUCUCGCAGAUAGCUGUCAGGGCAUUCGCAUGGGAGAAUAAUUAAAAUAUGUAGAAAGGUGCCUAAUAAGUUUGCAUCUGAAUAUUUCCUUCAAAGUGACACAACUUUCAGUUUUUUGUUCGGUCUUCUUUCUGGUUGCACAAGCAAGGAUGAUUUUAAAUAACCGCAACAUGCGUUUGUAAAUCGCAUCAACGAGGUUGACCUUACAAAAGCUGUUUAGCUUACGAUAUAGAAUAAUCAGAUGACUUAGUAAGAUUAUCUGUUUUCCCUGGAACUGUUGAAAUUCCACAUAUUACUUAAAACUUUGUUAUCUAACAGUCACGGAACGCGAAUGCUAUUGACAAAGUUGAAGGAGAACUCAAAACAACAAUCUAAAAAUGACAACCAAAGUUCGUAUAAGUGAUUAUGCGGCUGCUUUAACUUCACAACCUACCAGCAUGGUGAUGAUUAAGAAGCAAACAGCACUGGAAACGAAGAACCGACCAAGAUGACAGAAUUACAACUGUGAGCAUGUUAGUCCAAUUAUAACACAUCCCAAGCCAAUCAACGAAAAAGUAGCAUGUUCUUAGCUUGCUCUCUUAAAAAAUAGGUUUCUUCUUGCAAAAAUCUGAGAUGAAAGGACAUUGACCAAAGAAGAUAAUUUUCUCGACCGGAUGUUGUUAUGCCUCUUUUAUUAACUUUCACUGCAUCGAUGACGCUUUUCAUAAAUUCUUAUGCUAUCGUUAACUUUGAUGUUUUGAUGGUAGGUGAUGUCUUUGUAGGUGAUGGCAAAAAUACAGCAUUGGUAUUUUGUAACAUAUAUUCUUUGCAAUAGAGAGUUCUUUUAUCUGUUACUUCUCCAGCAAUAAACAACUUAUGCAAUAUUGUUGAAGAAGUAAGAAUUUUUAUCAUUUUAUGAACAUAAAGAAUGUUAUGAAAUAUUUUUUCGCAAUAACAAAAUGGUGUUAUUCGGUAAAAGCUUCCCAGAGGCUGUUGGCUGACACUCAACUAGUUGCCAAGAAAAGAACCUGUGAGGAAAUGAAUCUCUUACCGUUUAAUUCUGACAUAUACAUGACUUAGGACUAUUUUAGGCAACAUAGUUUCUAUUGAGGGAUCCACGAGUUUGUCAAAGAGUGCUCGAUACAUAAUAGAUUGAUUCCCAAGAAUCGAUUCUUUUUCAUGUGAAAAAUGCUGUACAGUAUUUUUCCGCAAAAGAGGAACCUACUUUUCAAAAACCCGGCUCCUUUUGGGACUUGUUUUAAAGUGCAUAUAUAAAUGGCAAGUUCAACGCUUAUUUCAUUACGUUCUUAGCACUGUAUUUUGCUGGUAAAGCGGGUCGGCGAUGCUUCAAAAUCCCUUAUUGUAUAAAAAUUUUCCGAUGCAUCGAGCAAAAACAAGUUACUUAUAACAAAUGGCCUAACCAUAGAAAGACAGUUUGUAGGUUCUUCUUUGCCGAGAUCUGUGGUAUGACAGAGAGGUAUAAAGAUCUAGCUAACAAAUGUGGACUGUUUGUAUGACAUAAAGCCAUGCUAGCCUUUAUUUUCAGAAUUAUUAAGCAUGUGCCUGCCAUGCACUUUCGCGCAGUUGCAAUCCACGUGUCAAGGGACUCCAUUGAAUUCCUUCGACAAAAGCUCCUUCGAGAAACACCCCUCUGAUUGAUUCCUCUCUACAUAAAUCUACUUACACAAGCCUAUGAACGCGAUCAUCUGUCAAAAACCCAGUUUUCAAAUCUUCCUAAAGUCAGAUUUCUUUAGCUUUAAAAACAGUUUCUAUGAUCUUAAUUGUAAUUGAACAUCUCUUUAUUAGUUUUUAUUCAUCAAUCUGGUGUCAUAUUAACCUUACUGUCACUGCUCAUUGUAUUGACCAAAGUAAUAAUAUUAAUGUUUAGUUUAAGAAAAUGCUCUUUUAUUUAAUAGAAUUCGUUUUAAGAAUUUCA